UGUAGUCAUUAGCUUGUCUCAAAGAUUAAGCCAUGCAUGUCUAAGUAUAAGCAAUCUAUACCGUGAAACUGCGAAUGGCUCAUUAAAUCAGUUAUCGUUUAUUUGAUAGUACCUUACUACUUGGAUAACCGUGGUAAUUCUAGAGCUAAUACAUGCUAAAAACCUCGACUUCGGAAGGGGUGUAUUUAUUAGAUAAAAAACCAAUGCCCUUCGGGGCUCCUUGGUGAUUCAUAAUAACUUAACGAAUCGCAUGGCCUUGUGCCGGCGAUGGUUCAUUCAAAUUUCUGCCCUAUCAACUUUCGAUUGUAGAGUAGUGGUCUACAAUGGUUUCAACGGGUAACGGGGAAUUAGGGUUCUAUUCCGGAGAGGGAGCCUGAGAAACGGCUACCACAUCCAAGGAAGGCAGCAGGCGCGCAAAUUACCCAAUCCCGACACGGGGAGGUAGUGACAAUAAAUACUGAUACAGGGCUCUUUUGGGUCUUGUAAUUGGAAUGAGUACAAUUUAAAUCCCUUAACGAGGAACAAUUGGAGGGCAAGUCUGGUGCCAGCAGCCGCGGUAAUUCCAGCUCCAAUAGCGUAUAUUAAAGUUGUUGCAGUUAAAAAGCUCGUAGUUGAACCUUGGGCCUGGCUGGCCGGUCCGCCUCACCGCGUGCACUGGUCCGGCCGGGUCUUUCCUUCUGAGGAGCCGCAUGCCCUUCACUGGGUGUGUCGGGGAAUCAGGACUUUUACUUUGAAAAAAUUAGAGUGUUCAAAGCAGGCCUAUGCUCGAAUACAUUAGCAUGGAAUAAUAGAAUAGGACGUGUGGUUCUAUUUUGUUGGUUUCUAGGACCGCCGUAAUGAUUAAUAGGGAUAGUCGGGGGCAUCAGUAUUCAAUUGUCAGAGGUGAAAUUCUUGGAUUUAUUGAAGACUAACUACUGCGAAAGCAUUUGCCAAGGAUGUUUUCAUUAAUCAGUGAACGAAAGUUAGGGGAUCGAAGACGAUCAGAUACCGUCGUAGUCUUAACCAUAAACUAUGCCGACUAGGGAUCGGGCGAUGUUAUCUUUUUGACUCGCUCGGCACCUUACGAGAAAUCAAAGUC
rnacentral:rRNA from 1 species